rnacentral:lncRNA from 1 species
GUCUUUUGAAAAUAUUUUAUGUUAAAAAUACAGGAAAAUAUUUCUUGUUCAAAGAAGAAAAAUAUACUGCAUGAUGCCACUGGUUUAGGUAUGUUCAGUAGAUGUCUGUGGCUCCAUAACCAGUCACUGGAGUGAUGACCCAAUUUGGCAGCUAAUGGUUCUUUUUCAACUUCUCAAUCAUUUAUCAAAGCCAGAAUCAUACUGUAAAGGUACAUGAAGAAACAGAGCAGAUGAAAGCCUAGCUUGAUCAUAGCUUCUUUCAUGUGUGAUUUCAGUUGACCUCGGUUAUGGAUCUCUGUGGGAUCAAAUACCCCCAUGUUUCCACUUGGCACCA